AAAUUACCCACAAUAUGGCUACCUGUGCCAAUUCUCUUCCCACAAUACUGACUAUAAGUGUCAGUUCUCGAAAUGCCCACAAUAUGGCUACAUGUGCCAAUUCUUUCCCCCAAUACUGACUACCAGUGUCAAUUCUCGACAUUUCCAGAAUAUGGCUACCUGUGUUAAUUCUUUCCCACAAUACUGACUACCAGUGUCAGUUCUCAAAAUUCACACAAUAUGGCUGCAUGUGCCAUUUCUUAGUGCCACAGAAAGAAAAUGGGAGAAGUUUGUCGGAAAUGCAUCGAUGGAAAAUAUGAGGGAGAAAGAAAAAGUUGAAUGAAAACGC
rnacentral:lncRNA from 1 species